ACGCUCGACACCUACAGGAGGCAGCAGUGGGGAAUAUUGCACAAUGGGGGAAACCCUGAUGCAGCGACGCCGCGUGAGCGAAGAAGUAUCUCGGUAUGUAAAGCUCUAUCAGCAGGGAAGAAGAUGACGGUACCUGACUAAGAAGCACCGGCUAAAUACGUGCCAGCAGCCGNGUAUNUGNGGCGGNUGNAG
rnacentral:rRNA from 1 species